rnacentral:rRNA from 1 species
AACGCGAAGAACCUUACCUGGUCUUGACAUCCACAGAACUUUCCAGAGAUGGAUUGGUGCCUUCGGGAACCGUGACACAGGUGCUGCAUGGCUGUCGUCAGCUCGUGUUGUGAAAUGUUGGGUUAAGUCCCGCAACGAGCGCAACCCUUAUCCUUUGUUGCCAGCGAUUCGGUCGGGAACUCAAAGGAGACUGCCGGUGAUAAACCGGAGGAAGGUGGGGAUGACGUCAAGUCAUCAUGGCCCUUACGGCCAGGGCUACACACGUGCUACAAUGGCGCAUACAAAGAGAAGCAAUCUCGCGAGAGCUAGCGGACCUCAUAAAGUGCGUCGUAGUCCGGAUUGGAGUCUGCAACUCGACUCCAUGAAGUCGGAAUCGCUAGUAAUCGUGAAUCAGAAUGCCACGGUGAAUACGUUCCCGGGCCUUGUACACACC